UACGGGGGGAGCAAGCGUUGUUCGGAUUUACUGGGCGUAAAGGGCUCGUAGGCGGCCAACUAAGUCGGACGUGAAAUCCCUAGGCUCAACCUCGGAACUGCCUUCGAUACUGGCGAUCUUGUGUCCGGGAGAGGUGAGUGGAACUCCGAGUGUAGAGGUGAAAUUCGUAGAUAUUCGGAAGAACACCAGUGGCGAAGGCGGCUCACUGGCCCGGUACUGACGCUGAGAUGCGAAAGCGUGGGGAGCAAACAGG
rnacentral:rRNA from 1 species